CUUUUGAUUUUUACAUUGCUUAGCGUAAGUGUAACAGUCAUUUUGUUUUAUGAUUUUGUACGUUAUAUAUAGUAUAAGAGACAUAAUAUAGCGUGUAUGCAAGGCCUGUGGGAU